GUAGGUCGUGGCUCAGUGGUAGAGCGUAUGCUUUGCCUGCAAAAGGUCCAGAGUGCAAUUCCUGAUAUCUGCA